AAUACUUUAUUUCUCCCCAAGUUUUGACAAUUUAAUGAACUCACGCUUCUGCUCCUAACACAACGUGCAUUGAUGUUAAAUCCUCUAACAAGUAAAAGGAUAAAAAAAACAGAACAAACCCUUGACCUGUGAAACGAAGUGUUGAGAUUAUAUUAUGCCUUCUGGAGAAUAAAUCCCCAAUAUCUCAUAUUCCCCUCCCCAAAUACAAAAAUGUCUAGGGCAAUCUUAUUAGAAUUAAAUCGACUAUCGAAUCAGUAAGAGGUUUGGUCCAGUCAAAAUCGGUAUGACCACCAGUCUAAUCAUUUGAACCGAAUUUUAAGAAAAACAGA
rnacentral:lncRNA from 1 species